rnacentral:rRNA from 1 species
GACGAACGCUGGCGGCGUGCCUAAUACAUGCAAGUUGAGCGCUGAAGGUUGGUACUUGUACCAACUGGAUGAGCAGCGAACGGGUGAGUAACGCGUGGGGAAUCUGCCUUUGAGCGGGGGACAACAUUUGGAAACGAAUGCUAAUACCGCAUAAAAACUUUAAACACAAGUUUUAAGUUUGAAAGAUGCAAUUGCAUCACUCAAAGAUGAUCCCGCGUUGUAUUAGCUAGUUGGUGAGGUAAAGGCUCACCAAGGCGAUGAUACAUAGCCGACCUGAGAGGGUGAUCGGCCACAUUGGGACUGAGACACGGCCCAAACUCCUACGGGAGGCAGCAGUAGGGAAGCUUCGGCAAUGGACGAAAGGCUGACCGAGAAACGCCGCGUGAGUGAAGAAGGUUUUCGGAUCGUAAAACUCUGUUGGUAGAGAAGAACGUUGGUGAGAGUGGAAAGCUCAUCAAGUGACGGUAACUACCCAGAAAGGGACGGCUAACUACGUG